rnacentral:misc_RNA from 1 species
GAUCAUAAGGUGAAAGUUGAAUCUGAUUUGGAAUCCAAAAAAGAUGAGAAAAGGAUUAAUGGGUCGGCUUCCCCGUCUGUGAAUGAGCAUGAGUCUAGGGUAAAGGGUAAGAAAGAAUCGUCUAAUAAGAAAGAUAGUCCUAGAAAGUUGCCCAAUGGCGUGGCAAAAGAUAAUAAUUCGCAAGAGGAAUCUGAGAGCGAAGAAUCAGUAAAGGAAGAGGAGGAGGGAGGAGUAGUGGAUGGUAGGGAAGAGGC